rnacentral:rRNA from 1 species
UACGUAGGCAGCGAGCGUUGUUCGGAGUUACUGGGCGUAAAGCGUGCGUAGGCGGUGGUCCAAGUCUGGUGUGAAAUCUCCCGGCUUAACUGGGAGGGUGCGCCGGAAACUGGGCCGCUGGAGUACGGGAGAGGCAAGCGGAAUUCCAGGUGUAGCGGUGAAAUGCGUAGAUAUCUGGAGGAACACCCGUGGUGCAGACGGCUUGCUGGACCGUGACUGACGCUGAGGCACGAAAGCGUGGGUAGCAAACAGGAAUUG